rnacentral:rRNA from 1 species
AUUGAACGCUGGCGGCAGGCCUAACACAUGCAAGUCGAGCGGAUGAAGGGAGCUUGCUCCUGGAUUCAGCGGCGGACGGGUGAGUAAUGCCUAGGAAUCUGCCUGGUAGUGGGGGAUAACGUCCGGAAACGGGCGCUAAUACCGCAUACGUCCUGAGGGAGAAAGUGGGGGAUCUUCGGACCUCACGCUAUCAGAUGAGCCUAGGUCGGAUUAGCUAGUUGGUGGGGUAAAGGCCUACCAAGGCGACGAUCCGUAACUGGUCUGAGAGGAUGAUCAGUCACACUGGAACUGAGAAACGGUCCAGACUCCUACGGGGAGCAGCAGUGGGGAAUAUUGGGCGAUGGACGAAAGCCUGAUCCAGCCAUGCGGCGGGUGUGAAGAAGGUCUUCGGAUUGUAAAGCACUUUAAGUUGGGAGGAAGGGCAGUAAGUUAAUACCUUGCUGUUUUGACGUUACCAACAGAAUAAGCACCGGCUAACUUCGUG